GAAGCAGCUGAGAGUAAACGUCUUGAACAUCCGUAAAAGGGGACGCUGACAGCUUGACUUUUCUGCCAGAUGCCUGCCUAUAUCAAGAGCUCUGAAAAGCUACUGUCCAGUGUGCAUCAGUACCAGUUGCCAUCUGAAGCUAAGUCUGAAGAAAUAUAUUGUUAAGGUCUUCAUGCCAAACAGUUCCAUGGGUGAAUCUCAAAAUAGCUAUAAAUCAGGACUCCAGGAAACAUGGAGAUGAUUGGGGAAAGAGAAGCCAUCAAGACAAGGCACUGGAUGAGGAUCAACAAGAUAUAGGCCAAGAUCCACAUAGGUAUUUAGCUUCUUGUCAUUCAUAUAUUUCACAGUGAGCAUUGGUGCCUAAAAAGAGUUACAGUC